rfam:Sporothrix schenckii ATCC 58251 unplaced genomic scaffold supercont1.2, whole genome shotgun sequence.
GGUCCAUUAGUCUAGUGGUUAGGACACUGGAUUUUGAUGUCUGCAUGGUUGUCUUUCCAGGAACGCCGGUUCGAGUCCGGCAUGGACCU